CCUUAGCCCCGAUCGUAGUGAAAAUCCUCUUGUACUGGGGUUCAGUACAAGAGAUUGCGACAAAGAGCGGGACUGAAC
rnacentral:sRNA from 1 species